UACAGAGGGGGCAAGCGUUAUUCGGAAUUAUUGGGCGUAAAGGGCGCGUAGGCGGCUUGGCAAGUGGAAGGUGAAAUCCCUCGGCUUAACCGAGGAACUGCCCUCCAAACUGCUUGGCUUGAGACCGGGAGAGGUGAGUGGAAUUCCCAGUGUAGCGGUGAAAUGCGUAGAUAUUGGGAGGAACACCAGUGGCGAAGGCGGCUCACUGGACCGGUACUGACGCUGAUGCGCGAAAGCGUGGGGAGCAAACGGGG
rnacentral:rRNA from 1 species